rnacentral:rRNA from 1 species
UAAUACAGAGGGUGCAAGCGUUAAUCGGAUUUACUGGGCGUAAAGCGUGCGUAGGCGGUUCAGUAUGUCGGUAGUGAAAUCCCCGGGCUCAACCUGGGAACUGCGGCCGAAACUGCUGGGCUUGAGUGUGGUAGAGGGCGGUGGAAUUCCGGGUGUAGCGGUGAAAUGCGUAGAGAUCCGGAGGAACAUCAAUGGCGAAGGCAGCCGCCUGGGCCACAACUGACGCUGAGGUACGAAAGCGUGGGGAGCAAACCGG